rnacentral:rRNA from 1 species
GAUGAACGCUGGCGGCGUGCCUAAUACAUGCAAGUCGAGCGAACGGACGAGAAGCUUGCUUCUCUGAUGUUAGCGGCGGACGGGUGAGUAACACGUGGAUAACCUACCUAUAAGACUGGGAUAACUUCGGGAAACCGUAGCUAAUACCGGAUAAUAUUUUGAACCGCAUGGUUCAAAAGUGAAAGACGGUCUUGCUGUCACUUAUAGAUGGAUCCGCGCUGCAUUAUCUAGUUGGUAAGGUAACGGCUUACCAAGGCAACGAUGCAUAGCCGACCUGAGAGGGUGAUCGGCCACACUGGAACUGGGACACGGUCCAGACUCCUACGGGAGGCAGCAGUAGGGAAUCUUCCGCAAUGGGCGAAAGCCUGACGGAGCAACGCCGCGUGAGUGAUGAAGGUCUUCGGAUCGUAAAACUCUGUUAUUAGGGAAGAACAUAUGUGUAAGUAACUGUGCACAUCUUGACGGUACCUAAUCAGAAAGCCACGGCUAACUACGUG